ACUUUCCUUGUCAUGGGGUGGUAUGGGAAACUCAAUGAGCGUUAAGUGAGAGUUCCCCUGCUGACACCAUAUUAUCAACACAUUCGCAUCUCCUGAACUUCAUGUUCAGGGUCUGGUGCAAUUUUUGGAAAC
rnacentral:ncRNA from 1 species